CCCUUAGAUGUUCGGGGCCGCACGCGCGCUACACUGAAGGAAUCAGCGUGCUCCUGUCCUGGUCUGGAAAGACUGGGUAACCCGUUGAACCUCCUUCGUGCUAGGGAUUGGGGCUUGCAAUUAUUCCCCAUGAACGAGGAAUUCCCAGUAAGCGCAAGUCAUCAGCUUGUGUUGAUUACGUCCCUGCCCUUUGUACACACCGCCCGUCGCUACUACCGAUUGAAUGGUUUAGUGAGACCCUCGGAUUCGUCCCAGCACAGUGGGUUUCUGCUGAGCUGGUGCGCGGAGAAGACGGUCGAACUUGAUCAUUUAGAGGAAGUAAAAGUCGUAACA
rnacentral:rRNA from 1 species